UUUUUUUGUUUUUUUUUUUUUGAGACAGAGUCUCGCUCUUUUGCCCAGGCUGGAGUGCAGUGGCCGGAUCUCAGCUCACUGCAAGCUCCGCCUCCCAGGUUUACGCCAUUCUCCUGCCUCAGCCUCCCGAGUAGCUGGGACUACAGGAGCCCGCCACCUCGCCCGGCUAGUUUUUUGUAUUUUUUAGUAGAGACAGGGUUUCACUGUGUUAGCCAGGAUGGUCUCAAUCUCCUGACCUCGUGAUCCGCCCACCUCGGCCUCCCAAAGUGCUGGGAUUACAGGCAUGAGCCACUGUGCCCGGCCAUCUUGUGCCUCUUUCUAACACCAAGGACGCCCUUCCUAGAUGACCUCCUCCACCCCGCUCCCAAGACUUCCCCUCGCAUUUCACUGGCUGGAACUGCAUCCCAUGUCCAUUCCUCAAGCAAUCCCUGGCAAGGGAAUGGGAAACAAUCUCCCCUCACUGCCCGCGGUCACUCUCCUGUGGGUCUUUCCCUGAACACACAGGGACGUUUGCUCCUGCUGGUGCCUCCGCGUGGAAGGCCCUUCCUGAUUCUUCCAUCUCGAAGAGUCAUCUUUCAAAGCUGCCUCCAAAGGUACUCUUCCACCUGCAGGCUGGCUCAGGGUCUCUUCUGCGUUCACAGCCUUCCAGGACCCCUACCGGAUGUGGCUUGUUUCUGUGGCUCAGAAAUGCGACCUCUUCCCAGCCCCAUGAGACCACAAUCAGCACAGCUGGCCAUGGUGAGGACUCCCAGCCCGCUGGACCUGGGCCUGGGGCAGCCACAACCCUGCCCUCACCCCUGCCCAGGGUUGGGUAUGACCUCUGGGAAAAGCCUCAGGAGAGGACUGGGACUGAAAGAAAAACACCCAUUUGAUGGAGAAGCAAACUGAGGCUUAGUGAGGGGUGUGACUUGCCCAAGGUCAUGGUCAGGGCCAGUCUUAGCUCCACAUCUCUCUCUCAGGCCUGGGCCCUGGGCCCCACUCCAGUGCUCCCCAGACUUUGAAGGUCCCGUGAAUCACUGGGGCACCUGUUAAAAUGCAGACGCUGGUUCAGUAGGUCGGGGUGGGGCUGGACUUGCUAUUUCUCACUUGCUUCCGCUGCCACUGGCCUGUAAGCCACACUGGGGGCGUCGCAGUCCUUACUAAGGGGGACCUUGGAUUUUCAGCCCCACCCUCAGAAGCCCAGAGGCCACUGCUUUAGGAAGGGUGGGGUGUGGGUAGGGUGUGAGUAGGGAAGCCACUUCAAGAAACCCCAAUCUCCAUUUCUGUUCUAUCAGCCAUCUAGGACACCAGAACUUGCUGGAACAUUUUAUUAAGUUAAGAGGUUCAGGGGGCAGGAGAGAAUCACCUUUUGGGUGGCUCCGGCGGUUCCGCACCCAGCACAGCCUCAGAGGAGGCUGUGGGGCCAUGGAAGCCAGCUGCUGGCUCCCUCUGUCCUGAGCCCCAUGGUACAGGUCCAAAUGGGGCAGGAAGUGUUAGUAGGAGGUAGGGUAGGAGGAAGGUGGCAGGCUCCCGCCUCUCCCCUGCAGAGAUACCCUGCCAUGGCUGCUGCCUGGGCCUCCGCCAGACCCCCGGACCAGGGCCACGAGCCCAGAA
rnacentral:lncRNA from 1 species